GCGUCGAUGGUCUAGUGGUUAUGACUUGGGCCUUCCAAGCAGACUUAUGCGGAGCAAGCCUACAACCCGGGUUCGAAUCCCGGUCGACGCA
rnacentral:tRNA from 2 species